UACAGAGACUGCAAGCGUUAUUCGGAUUCACUGGGCGUAAAGCGCACGUAGGCGGUAUUGCAAGUCGGAUGUGAAAUCCCUCGGCUCAACCAAGGAAGUGCAUCCGAAACUGCAGUACUUGAGUACGAAAGAGGAUCGCGGAAUUCCCGGUGUAGAGGUGAAAUUCGUAGAUAUCGGGAGGAACACCAGUGGCGAAGGCGGCGAUCUGGGUCGAUACUGACGCUGAGGUGCGAAAGCGUGGGGAGCAAACAGG
rnacentral:rRNA from 1 species